CCCAGACUCCUACGGGAGGCAGCAGUGGGGAAUAUUGCACAAUGGGGGGAACCCUGAUGCAGCGACGCCGCGUGGGUGAAGGAGUACUUCGGUACGUAAAGCCCUAUCAGCAGGAAAGAAAAUGACGGUACCUGACUAAGAAGCCCCGGCUAACUACGUGCCAGCAGCCGCGGUAAUACGUAGGGGGCAAGCGUUAUCCGGAUUUACUGGGUGUAAAGGGAGCGUAGACGGCAGUGCAAGUCCGGAGUGAAAGCCCGGGGCUCAACCCUGGGACUGCUCUGGAAACUGUAAAGCUGGAGUGCGGGAGGGGCAGGCGGAAUUCCUGGUGUAGCGGUGAAAUGCGUAGAUAUCAGGAGGAACACCGGCGGCGAAGGCGGCCUGCUGGACCGUAACUGACGUUGAGGCUCGAAAGCGUGGGGAGCAAACAGGAUUAGAUACCCUAGUAA
rnacentral:rRNA from 1 species